rnacentral:lncRNA from 1 species
CCUCAGGAUGAAACUUUCUCUGCUAUUCCUGCCCUCCACACAACCAGAAACCUCUCAGCAAUCGUGUAAAUAACUCUGUAUAACUUUAAUUGGCUCUGUUUAUAAGCUUCUUCUUGUAUCUUUUUUUUCCCUCCAGGUAUUUUUCUGGGUGUUUAUCCAGUCUCCAUUAAUUUGUAAACUCCCAGAGGGCAAGGCUGGUGUUGCCAUAAAGGGGAUGUGCAGGUAAGGAUGAAUGGGGGUAGGUGCCUGACUUCUUCAUUAUUAAUCUGUUUAGAGAAAGAGAGAGAAAAGCAUCUUUGGUUAGUACUUUGUUAGUGAUGAUCUGGAGCCUGCUAACCUAAUGUAAAAAUAUAUCCAGCUUUUGCUAUUGACCAGAUAAGCAAUGUAAAAUCCACAGUUACAAGCUCUCCAUAAUGUGAGUGGGAAGGUGUGUGGAUAUUUUGGCCCAUAAGGGAAUCUAUGAUGCAUGUAAGCCUUGUUAUUAUAGUUUAUACUCUUCAGGGGUAUGUCUUUUGUCUCUUUCAGGCUGCAGGACUAUCUCAGGAAGCAAAUAAGAUUUACUUUCAAAACUGAGAUCUGAAAACUGAACAAAUACCAUUGUAUUGCAAGUUUGUACUAUGGAGGGAAACCAAUCCAAUUUUGGAGGCCUUCUAAUGUGUGUUGUAGUAGUAGUAGUAGUAGUAAUAAUAAUAAUAAUAAUAAUAAUAAUAAUGGCCACAGACCCAACUCUCCAAGAUAGCUGGAUAGUUCUUUCAGCCCAGGUAACAAAGGGAAUCCUCUGCAAAUGUUCUCUUCUCACUGCAGGGGUUAGAAGUGGGGAUCCUUUACCGUGACCACCUGCUACCCUCGCUCCCAACUAGCAUAUAAAAUGCUGAAUAUCUGUACAUUGCUCUCUGCACAAAGCCUAAGGUAUAAACCCAUGUAGGCGGUGCGCUAGAUAACAUCAAAGCCCCAGGCAGGGACCAGAAAGGAGGUGUGUGUGUGUGGGGGGGGCAAAAGCAGCCAAGAGCACGAAGCGCCUCCCUCUAGCAUUUCCUCUCACGCCCACUUCCAACCUAG